UACGGGGGGGGCAAGCGUUGUUCGGAAUUACUGGGCGUAAAGCGCGUGUAGGCGGGAGAGGCAGUCCGGUGUGAAAGCCCUCGGCUCAACCGAGGAAGGUCGCUGGAAACUCCUCUUCUUGAGGGUGGCAGAGGGAAGUGGAAUUCCCGGUGUAGCGGUGAAAUGCGUAGAUAUCUGGAGGAACACCGGUGGCGAAGGCGGCAUCCUGGACCAGCAUUGACGCUGAGGCGCGAAAGCCAGGGGAGCAAACGGG
rnacentral:rRNA from 1 species